GUCCUGGAUUGCGCGAAGAUGUGUUGGACGUUGCCAGCCAUAUACAUACAAUGAAAACGUAUUGAAGUCGAAAA